rnacentral:rRNA from 1 species
GACGAACGCUGGCGGCGUGCUUAACACAUGCAAGUCGAACGGUGAAGCGCCUUCCUUUUUGGUGGGUGUGGAUGAGUGGCGAACGGGUGAGUAACACGUGAGUAACCUGCCCCCUUCUUCUGGAUAACCGCAUGAAAGUGUGGCUAAUACGGGAUAUUCUGGGUCUGUCGCAUGAUGGGUCUGGGAAAGAUAUUGUUUCGGUGGGGGAUGGGCUCGCGGCCUAUCAGCUUGUUGGUGGGGUGGUGGCCUACCAAGGCGGUGACGGGUAGCCGGCCUGAGAGGGUGGACGGCCACGCUGGGGCGGAGACACGGCCCAGACUCCUACGGGAGGCAGCAGUGGGGAAUAGUGCACGAUGGGCGCAAGCAUGAUGCAGCGACGCCGCGUGAGGGAUGGAGGCCUGCGGGUUGUGAACCUCUUUCGCCAGUGAAGCAGGCCUGCCUCGUUUGUGGGUGGGUUGACGGUAGCUGGAUAAGAAGCGCCGGCUAACUACGUG